GCUAAAACCUUAGCCCUAAAACACCUAAACACUUUAUCUAUUAACCCAAAAUAUUCUGACAAGCAAGUAAAGACGAUCGAAAACUUCUUGGAGCAAUUUACCUACCGCAAGGAAACAGUGAAAUAACAAUGAAAACCCUUAAGCACAAAACAGAAGAGACCCACCCUCGUACCUUUCGCAUCAUGGUUUAACUAGUCUACUUAAGCAAAAAGAAUUUAAGUUUACCCCCCCGAAACCAGGUGAGCUACCUGGGGGCAGMUUACCGAGCACACCCUUCUCUGUUGCAAAAGAGUGGGAAGACCCCUUAGUAGAGGUGACAAGCCAAACGAGCCUAGUGAUAGCUGGUUACUUAAGAAAAGAAUUUUAGUUCAACCUAAAGCUUCUUCAGCCCCCCAAAGCAAUCCUUAAACUUUAGAGCAACUCAAAUAAGGUACAGCUUAUUUGAACAAGGACACAACCUAAUCUAACGGGUAACUAACCACACGCAGCCCAGUUGGCCUAAAAGCAGCCACCAUCUAAAAGCGUCAAAGCCUAACAUACCAUCCACACCAAUUCCUCCACUAUCCCAAACCCUUAACCAAUAUUAAGUACUUCUAUGUCCCCAUAGAAAUUUUUAUGUUAAAACUAGUAACAUGAAACACCUUCUCCCAAUGCAAACAUAAAUCAGACAGAAACCCGCACUGAUAAUUAACAACCCCAAGCAGCAACCUAACAAGAAAACCCUGCCUCAACCCUCGUUAACCUAACACAAGAGCAUUUCAAGAAGAUUAAAAGAAAGAGAAGGAACUCGGCAAAUAAUGAUCUCGCCUGUUUACCAAAAACAUCGCCUCUUGCACCCAUAAGAGGUCCAGCCUGCCCAGUGACUCUGUUCAACGGCCGCGGUACCCUGACCGCGCGAAGGUAGCGUAAUCACUUGUUUUUUAAAUGAAGACUAGUAUGAAAGGCACCACGAAAAUCAAACUGUCUCCUCUUUCCAAUCAGUGAAACUAAUCUCCCCGUGAAGAAGCGGGGAUUUACCCAUAAGACGAGAAGACCCUAUGGAGCUUCAAACUAAUAGACACUUGCCCAUUCUUUAACCUCACACGAGACUCACCCAAGCAUCUUUGCCUAAAAGUUUUAGGUUGGGGCGACCACGGAGAAUAAAUCAUCCUCCAUGCUGACACGAACUAUUUCUAAAUGAAAAGCCACAACUUUUCAUAUCAAUAUAUUGACACUUAUUGACCCAGUACUCUGAUCAACGAACCAAGUUACCCUAGGGAUAACAGCGCAAUCUACUUUGAGAGCCCAUAUCGACAAGUAGGCUUACGACCUCGAUGUUGGAUCAGGAAAUCCUAGUGGUGCAGCAGCUACUAAAGG
rnacentral:rRNA from 1 species